AUGAAUCCUAGAAAGCAAAUAACGAACGUGUCUAAAAGAAACUGCAUUAACAACAUGUAACAGAACACGUAUUCAAUAUUACAAGGCCUUUGAUGUCUGCUCACGUAUAAUCACGAUGGAUCUCAACGUGAUUAUACGUGAAUUGCAUUUAUUCUCAGCUACUAGAAUUUUCAACAAUUCAUAACACAUUAUGUCGAUCUGGCCGGCAAUAUGGAGUACCUAAAAGUGACGGUCCAAGAUUGUCCCAAAACUAUGACCUAUUGACGAUCUAAUAUUAUUUAUUAAGCGUCCGAUAAUGAAAUUUCCGUUGAUGCAAAUUUAGUUUUCAUAUACAAUACUCUCCAGUAUAGAACCAUCUUACUAACCAACGCGACGAUGAGAACGUUCAGCAUUCCUGCCAACAUCGCUAACGUGUACUGCAGGAAAAAUUAUAAAACCAUGAUAAUUUUGUAAAGCGGCGCAUGUGUUCGAAUAGCAAAUUCAUUUUAAUAAUAAGUUGCUUCUCCUCGACAAAUUA